CCCUCAUCGGUAACUAUCGGUUGCUGAAGACCAUUGGCAAGGGAAACUUCGCAAAAGUCAAACUGGCACGCCAUGUCCUCACCGGGAAAGAGGUGGCUGUUAAGAUUAUUGAUAAAACACAACUCAACUCUUCCAGUCUGCAGAAGCUCUUCCGAGAAGUGAGAAUCAUGAAGCUGUUGAAUCAUCCUAACAUAGGUGAGUU